GAUGAACGCUGGCGGCGUGCCUAACACAUGCAAGUCGAGCGAUUCUCUUCGGAGAAGAGCGGCGGACGGGUGAGUAACGCGUGGGUAACCUGCCUCAUACACAUGGAUAACAUACCGAAAGGUAUGCUAAUACAGGAUGAUAUAAGAGAUUCGCAUGAAUUUCUUAUCAAAGCUCCGGCGGUAUGAGAUGGACCCGCGUCUGAUUAGCUAGUUGGUAAGGUAAUGGCUUACCAAGGCGACGAUCAGUAGCCGACCUGAGAGGGUGAUCGGCCACAUUGGAACUGAGACACGGUCCAAACUCCUACGGGAGGCAGCAGUGGGGAAUAUUGCACAAUGGGCGAAAGCCUGAUGCAGCAACGCCGCGUGAGUGAUGAAGGCCUUCGGGUCGUAAAACUCUGUCCUCAAGGAAGAUAAUGACGGUACUUGAGGAGGAAGCCCCGGCUAACUACGUGCCAGCAGCCGCGGUAAUACGUAGGGGGCUAGCGUUAUCCGGAUUUACUGGGCGUAAAGGGUGCGUAGGUGGUUUCUUAAGUCAGGAGUGAAAGGCUACGGCUCAACCGUAGUAAGCUCUUGAAACUGGGAAACUUGAGUGCAGGAGAGGAAAGUGGAAUUCCUAGUGUAGCGGUGAAAUGCGUAGAUAUUAGGAAGAACACCAGUGGCGAAGGCGGCUUUCUGGACUGUAACUGACGCUGAGGCUCGAAAGCUAGGGUAGCGAACGGGAUUAGAUACCCUGGUAGUCC
rnacentral:rRNA from 1 species